CAUUAAGUAGCUUAAACAUAAAGCUUUGGUCUCUUAAAUCAAUUAUAGUAAAUUAUUAUACUCUUAAUGG
rnacentral:tRNA from 1 species